rnacentral:lncRNA from 1 species
AAAAUUCAGUCCCCUUUUUAUAGAGUCGUUGCAAGGAUCAAGUGAGUUGAAAUCCGUAAGGUGCUUGGGAGAAUGCCUGGCGCCUGGAAGCACUGUAUAUUCCAAAAAAGGAGAUAUAAACAUGACCAUAAAAGACAUGAAAAGAUGUUUAACCCCAUUAGUCAUCGUGGAAAUGCAAAUGAAAACCACCAUACAGACACUAGAGUGGUUUAAAUUUGAAUGACUUCCAACACCAAAUGCCAGACAGGACAUAGAGCAACUGGAUGUCUCAUGCUCACAGGCAGAAGGGAAAACUACUGUGUGUGACAGGAAGAUGGACUUACCCAACCUUCAGCAUUCUCAAUCUCUUGUCUAUUAACAUGUGUUUGAAACAUUAUGCAUUCAAAGCAAACAUCUGGGAGGAAGAUGGGAGAAGCCUUCUUGCCCCUGUUCUACAGAAGUAAUUGAAGUUCAUGACAUUCAAGCUCAUUCACCAGUAAAUGAAUUUGGGUCAUGCUUUAUGUCUGUUGUAAAUACAGUGAAAAUUUG